AACGAACGCUGGCGGAAUGCCUAACACAUGCAAGUCGAACGAGGUCUUCGGACCUAGUGGCGCACGGGUGAGUAACGCGUGGGAAUCUGCCUUGGGGUACGGAAUAACUCAGGGAAACUUGAGCUAAUACCGUAUGAUGUCGUGAGACCAAAGAUUUAUCGCCCCAAGAAGAGCCCGCGUCAGAUUAGCUUGUUGGUGAGGUAAUGGCUCACCAAGGCGACGAUCUGUAGCUGGUCUGAGAGGAUGAUCAGCCACACUGGGACUGAGACACGGCCCAGACUCCUACGGGAGGCAGCAGUGGGGAAUAUUGGACAAUGGGCGAAAGCCUGAUCCAGCAAUUCCGCGUGAGCGAAGAAGGCCUUCGGUUGUAAAGUCUCUUUCGGUCAGGGACGAGUAAUAGACGGUAACCUGCAGAAGAAGACCCGGCUAACUCCGUGCCAGCAGCCGCGGUAAGUCACUACUAUG
rnacentral:rRNA from 1 species